GAUGAACGCUGGCGGCGUGCCUAAUACAUGCAAGUCGAGCGAACAGACGAGGAGCUUGCUCCUCUGACGUUAGCGGCGGACGGGUGAGUAACACGUGGAUAACCUACCUAUAAGACUGGGAUAACUUCGGGAAACCGGAGCUAAUACCGGAUAAUAUAUUGAACCGCAUGGUUCAAUAGUGAAAGACGGUUUUGCUGUCACUUAUAGAUGGAUCCGCGCCGCAUUAGCUAGUUGGUAAGGUAACGGCUUACCAAGGCGACGAUGCGUAGCCGAGCUGAGAGGGUGAUCGGCCACACUGGAACUGAGACACGGUCCAGACUCCUACGGGAGGCAGCAGUAGGGAAUCUUCCGCAAUGGGCGAAAGCCUGACGGAGCAACGCCGCGUGAGUGAUGAAGGUCUUCGGAUCGUAAAACUCUGUUAUUAGGGAAGAACCACUGUGUAAGUAACUAUGCACGUCUUGACGGUACCUAAUCAGAAAGCCACGGCUAACUACGUG
rnacentral:rRNA from 1 species